CAAUGAAUGAGCUCUUCAUAUAAUGCUUCCUAUUUACACAUGUUUGAUAAAGGAUAACAUAAAAAGCCGUUAAAAGGUCUGACUUGCUUUCAUCAUUUCAUCUUGUCAACUUCAAAGCCUCAUACGAAACUCGUUCCAAUUUACCUGUGAAUAUUCAUUCUGCAAAAGAGUCGCAAUUGAAUCGCUGGGGAGCAGGAAUCACAGACACACAGACGGCUGGAUCCAUAGAAUUCAGGCCUCUCCUAUCUGUCUUCCAGUCUCUCAUUCACACCACUGCCUGGUUGCCAGGGUAAAUUGCACCCUAGAAACUCGCUGAUGAAAUUCCAAACUCAAGAGCUACCGAUCAAAAAGAUGAAUAAUUCAGUAACCUCAACAAUAAAGACUGGUUGCAAAUGAUCCCUAAUAUGCAGAGCAUUAAAAGUUAGUUUAAAGAAAAGUUCUACAUUGAUUUCUUGAGCAGACGCUGUCCCAGUUCCCUCUCAAACCUGGAAACACCACAAUUCUAAAGUUCUACAUGAAGGUCAAACUAGACUUCUCCUGCCGAGAAAACCUUCUACAAGAUCUCAGCCAUGGUAAGUUCUGAUUUGUGUCUAUAGCGCUAGAGUAUAAAUA